rnacentral:rRNA from 1 species
GAUUGCCUCAGUAACGGCGAGUGAAGCGGCAAAAGCUCAAAUUUGAAAUCCCCCGGGAAUUGUAAUUUGAAGAGAUUUGGGUCCGGCCGGCGGGGGUUAAGUCCACUGGAAAGUGGCGCCACAGAGGGUGACAGCCCCGUGAACCCCUUCAACGCCUUCAUCCCAGAUCUCCAAGAGUCGAGUUGUUUGGGAAUGCAGCUCUAAGUGGGUGGUAAAUUCCAUCUAAAGCUAAAUACCGGCGAGAGACCGAUAGCGAACAAGUACAGUGAUGGAAAGAUGAAAAGCACUUUGAAAAGAGAGUGAAAAAGUACGUGAAAUUGUUGAAAGGGAAGGGCUUGCAAGCAGACACUUAACUGGGCCAGCAUCGGGGCGGCGGGAAACAAAACCACCGGGGAAUGUACCUUUCGAGGAUUAUAACCCCGGUCUUUAUUUCCUUGUUGCCCCGAGGCCUGCAAUCUAAGGAUGCUGGCGUAAUGGUUGCAAGUCGCCCGUCUUGAACCACGGACC